rnacentral:rRNA from 1 species
GGGGGAAAAUUAAUUAAUAAAAAAUAAUAAAAAUAAUUUUAAUUUAAUAAUAUUUGAAUGGGGGUUAAAGUAUUAUUUAAAGAAAAAAUUAUUAAUUUUAUAGUAAAUUAGUAUUGUGAAAGAAUUUUGAAAUAUUUGAAAAAAAAUUUAUUUGAAAGUAAUUUUUAUUUAUUGUAUCUUGUGUAUCAGAGUUUAUAAAAAAUUUUUAAUUUAUUAUUAAUUUCUCGAAUUUAAAAGAGUUAAAUAAUUAAGAAAGUUAUUGUUUCAAUAUUAUUUUUAAUAAUUAUUUUGAAAUGAAAUGUUAUUCGUUUUUAAUGAUAUCUAGUUUUUUUAGAAAAAAAUUUAAUUUUAAAUUAAAUUUUAAUAAAUUUAAUUAAUUAAAUUUAUUAAAAUUUAAUUUUAUAUUUUAAGGGAUAAGCUUUAAAUUAAAUUUUUAUAAUAAUAAAUUUUAUUUUAAAAAUUUUAUAAUUUAUAUUGUUAAUAAAUUUUAUUUUAUUAUAAAUAAUUUUAAAAAAUAAAAAAUUUAAAAAUUUAUAUUUAAAUUUUUAUAAAAAAAUUAUUUUAAAUAAUAAAAAGUUAAAAAUAAUGAUAAAAUUAGUAUAUAAUUAAUUUUAUUUAAUUUUAAAUUAUUAUUUUUAAUUUAAUUAAUAAAAAGGAAUUCGGCAAAUAUUUAUAUUCACUUGUUUAACAAAAACAUGUCUUUUUGUAAUUAAUUUAAAGUCUAAUCUGCCCACUGAUUAAAAUAAUUAAAGGGCUGCAGUAUUUUGACUGUACAAAGGUAGCAUAAUCAUUAGUCUCUUAAUUGGUGACUUGUAUGAAAGAUUGAAUGAGAUAUAUACUGUCUCUUAAUUAAUUUAUAGAACUUAAUUUUUUAUUUAAAAAGUUAAAAUAAAUUAAAAAGACGAGAAGACCCUAUAGAGUUUUAUAAUUAAAAUUAUAAUAUAUUAUUUGUUUUUAAAAAAUUUUUAUAAUUUAAAUUAUUUUAUUGGGGUGAUAAAAAAAUAAAUUUAACUUUUUUAAUAUUUUAAACAUAAAUAAUUGAAUAUAUGAUCCCAUUUUAUUGAUUAUAAGAUUAAAUUACCUUAGGGAUAACAGCGUAAUUUUUUUUUUUAGUUCAAAUAAGAAAAAAAGUUUGCGACCUCGAUGUUGGAUUAAGAUAAAAUUUAAAUGCAAAAGUUUAAAAUUUUUGAUCUGUUCGAUCACUAAAAUCUUACAUGAUCUGAGUUCAAACCGGUGUAAGCCAGGUUGGUUUCUAUCUUUUAAAAUUAAAAAAUAUUUUAGUACGAAAGGAUCAAAUAUUUUAAUUAAAAUUAUUAAUUUUUGAAUUUUAGUAAAAUAAACUUAAAAUUUUUAUAUUUUAUAUUAUAAUAU